rnacentral:rRNA from 1 species
CCUACGGGAGGCAGCAGUGGGGAAUAUUGCACAAUGGGCGCAAGCCUGAUGCAGCGACGCCGCGUGAGGGAUGACGGCCUUCGGGUUGUAAACCUCUUUCAGCAGGGACGAAGCGCAAGUGACGGUACCUGCAGAAGAAGCACCGGCCAACUACGUGCCAGCAGCCGCGGUAAUACGUAGGGUGCAAGCGUUGUCCGGAAUUACUGGGCGUAAAGNGCUCGUAGGCGGUUUGUCGCGUCGUCUGUGAAAACCAGCAGCUCAACUGUUGGCUUGCAGGCGAUACGGGCAGACUUGAGUAUUUCAGGGGGAGACUGGAAUUCCUGGUGUAGCGGUGAAAUGCGCAGAUAUCAGGAGGAACACCGGUGGCGAAGGCGGGUCUCUGGGAAAUAACUGACGCUGAGGAGCGAAAGCGUGGGUAGCGAACAGGAUUAGAUACCCUGGUAGUCCACGCCGUAAACGGUGGCGCUAGGUGUGGGUUUCCUUCCACGGGUAUCCGUGCCGUAGCUAACGCAUUAAGCGCCCCGCCUGGGAGUACGGCCGNAGGCUAAAACGUCAAGGAAUUGACGG